rnacentral:sRNA from 1 species
GCGCCGACCGAGCGCCGAGUGUGGUGGGUUUUCCCGGAGAGCGGAAAAGCCGAGAAAUUCGCCAGCCGAAGCUGCGAGCGAUGGAAGAGAAACACCGCAGGAUGGCCACUCAAAAUGAACUCACUUUGUACUCAGAACUCAAACGAAUAGAUGAACCAUUCUGCGAAAUGUUAAGAGCACACAAAUCGGAGCGAUUUUACAUAUCACUCAAAAAGGACUCAUUUUAAAAUGUUAUGGAGCAGUUGAGUGCAAAGAAAAUGUUAGCUCUAAAUUUGAUAAAAUAACUCUUGUUCUUAAUAAUUAUCAAAACAUCAUUUUUAACAUGAGUUUCAAAAAUAUUUCAUCUUUUAUACAAAAUGGGUAUUUUCUUUAACAUUAUAAAAAUUAUUAUUUAAUUCGUAUAAAUGUAUGAGAAUUGUAAAUCUAGUUUUACACUACCUGUCGCAAAAUCGCUCGAUUCGAGCUCAUUUAUUAAACAUUGAGAUAAUCACUGAGUGCUUUUAUAACAAAACCAGCAAUGUUUCUCUUAGAGUGAAGUGCUCGCUGGGUAAUAACAUUUAUUGCUCAACUAAAAAGGACUCGAAUUGCAGGCGCUAAGAGUAUAGGCUUAUUUGAGAACUGUAAAUGCAACAGAACAGACUCACUCAACUUCGAAUUUUGAGUCCUGCGAGGCUUAGAACAUAAAACCAAAGAGAAGCAAUUUGGCCAGUAAGGCAACUCAAUCCUGCUCAGCAAGAACUCGCUCGAAGAGAGCCUGGUGAGAUGGCAAAACGAGCUUUCGACGUGGGUGAAUCGGAAAUGUUCGGCAUUUGAACACCGAGCCCGUCGACGACGAAGGUGAAAAGCGAAUCGCGUCCACGAAAAGCCCGCCAUUGACUUUGACCGUCGUUCGCCAGUCGUCAGUUUCAACUGGAGCGGCGGGCAGUAAGCUGAAAUCGGCUGAAAGGACGAGCUGGCAGGACAUUUCGCAGGAGGGCGAACCAGCACAGUGCCGAGCAGGAAAAGGCGAGAAACGGCCUGUGCUAAUUUUCCUGGCUAGCUGAUUUUUGGCGCGCUGCAGCUUUAAUCCUGCCGUCUAAGUGAAUGUGAAAUGUAACAAGCCAAGUGACAGUUACCAAAAGUCAGAAGACAACAGGAAGGACUGGAGAAAAGCGAAGGCAGAAAGCCACCGAACAGAUGGAAACAACUCGCAGAUGCUGAUGUUCCUGCCCCAGGAGACAUUUAACAUAAUAAAAACGAACGUGUGCGGCAUUUUGUGUUGCCUUUUGGCCAAGUUAACUCUUGUUCCUGCAUCUCUCUGUGUGUGUGUGUGUGUGUGUUCGUUACAUGCUAAUAUCACAUCGCCCCCGCACAACGCACACAAACUUACAAACAAACAAUAUUGCAAAUGUGUGAGUGAGGCAGUUGGCCAAAGUGUCGUAAAUCGUUUAGACAGCGCGACGUGGCCCAGAAAAAGGAGAUGAGGGCCAAAAAACGAUAUGUAAACGACACAGCAGUCGCCGUGGGAAAAACGGGGAAGCGCCAACAGAAAAAGCCAAGGAAACGAAGGAUCCGACGAUGAACUGCAUUUGUUGCUCAUAUGUGAUGUGAGAUAUUUGAUAUGCGUUGAAAAAGUUUUGACAAAUUAACUUUUUGCAAUGAAGACUGAUUUAUCCAUUUGUUGACUUCUCUUUCUGUUACAAAAAAUCCUACCAAAAAUGAAGAUGACGAUGGCCUAUCAAUACUGCGAUGAGUAUGAAUAUCGCCAUAAAUAAGGCAAUUUUGUAAAAGAAAAAA